rnacentral:rRNA from 1 species
CAGCCGCCGCGGGAAUACGUAGGUCCCGAGCGUUGUCCGGAUUUAUUGGGCGUAAAGCGAGCGCAGGCGGUUAGAUAAGUCUGAAGUUAAAGGCUGUGGCUUAACCAUAGUACGCUUUGAAAACUGUUUAACUUGAGUGCAAGAGGGGAGAGUGGAAUUCCAUGUGUAGCGGUGAAAUGCGUAGAUAUAUGGAGGAACACCGGUGGCGAAAGCGGCUCUCUGGCUUGUAACUGACGCUGAGGCUCGAAAGCGUGGGGAGCAAACAGGAUUAGAUACCCCAGUAGUCCCUGUCUCUUAUACA